AGUGGACAUGUUACUGCCCUUGAAGGAGGACUGGUAACACUCAGCUGUAACUACACUACCAGUAGUACAUCUCCUGAUCUCUUCUGGUACAUCCAGUUAACUAGGAACUCUCCUCAGUAUGUCCUUAGAAGAGAUCGUUAUUCAGAAGGGAGCAAUAGUGAUGAGUUCCAGGGGGGGUUUGAUUCCAGGCUGAAUUUCACAUCUAGCUCUGUAGAGUGUUUGCCUCAGGAUUCUCAAUGUUUGACAAUGCCCACAAAGAGGAGGAGAGAAGGAUUUCAUGGUGUCAUCAUGGCCUAGCUACAUCAGAGUGGUUUUACUCUUCUCCUGUUGGUCUCACAGUAGCAGACAUGGGACUCUGGCUGAGUAAUUUACUGAUUCUUGCUGCAUGUUGUUAUGAAUGCAGAGGAGAAGAUUCAGUCAUUCAGCCACCAGGAGAUGUGAUUGCUACUGAGGGAGAACAGGUCACACUGGGCUGUCAAUUUGAUGCAGUUAAUAUAAAGAAUGUCAACCUGUUCUGGUACAAGCAUGAAUUAAAUGGAUUCCCAGAGUUCAUGCUGGGACGUUUUCCUUUUGGAAGUACAAAUGCCACUGAGUUCAAGGAUAGAUUUGAUGCCCAUCUCGAUGCAGACUCCAAGUCAGUCCCCUUGACGAUCCAGAGGGUGCAGCUGUCUGACUCUGCUGUGUACUACUGUGCUCUGAGGCCCACUGUGAUAACAGGAUAUACAGCCUCAUUACAAAAACUAUUUGAUAGUGUGAUGUAAGACUCUUAGAGAGCCUAGUGGAAGCCCCUCCUCAAUGCUUCCUAAGGCAGAGUUAAAGAAGUGGUUUCAAAAGCUUUUGACACAUACAAGUGUGUUUGCUCUCUCCUUACCUACACAUCUCACAGUAGACAUGGAAUCUUGGUUGAAGAAAUGUCUGGUUCUUUCUGCAUUUUGUUGGGAAUGCAGAGGAGACAGAGUGUUACAGCCAAAAGGAGUUGUGACGGCUACUGAAGGAGGACAAAUAACACUUGCCUGUCAUUAUGAAACAGACGAUUCAAGUCCAUAUCUAUUCUGGUACAAACAGCGAGCAAACGACUUCCCCAAGUAUAUGCUUACGCGGUUCAAAUUUGGAACUGGGGACAAUGCUACUGAGUUCAAGGAGAGAUUUCAUGCCGAUCUAGAUGCCAACUCCAAAUCAGUCCCCUUGACGAUCCAGAGGGUGCAGCUGUCUGACUCUGCUGUGUACUACUGUGCUCUGAGGCC